rnacentral:lncRNA from 1 species
UCCUUACUAUUAAGUAGCUGUUUGAUAAAAUAAUACAUAAGGACUUGAAGAAAAUUAAUAUUUUUGUUUCCAUCUUAUAUAAACACAAUCACUUCCUAAAAAGGAUGUGCACACCUAUUGGGCUCUACAGAACGUCUUGCUCUCAGUGAUUACGCUUUUCUCCUUGCUUUUUUUUUUAAUGCUGAAUACAAAUAUCCUCCAACCCAAUUUUAAAAAUAACUUAUAUGUAGUCUGGAGCCAGUAGAUUUCCCAAAGCAUGAGCAAAUUCUAUUUUACUGGAGUCAAUAAUGUUUCAGUCUCUCAAGUCCAUGUGUGAGAUAUAGUGAAUCAUUGUCAUAUUAUCAUUAUAUCACUAUGGCUCAUCUCAUAAGAUCCCGCAUCAUCUGAUGGCCCUAUCAUUUCUGCUUACUUUGCAGAAUAAUAUGUUAGUCUCUUCCUAAAAUCCAGAAAA